rnacentral:rRNA from 1 species
ACGAACGCUGGCGGCACGCUUAACACAUGCAAGUCGAACGAGAGAAGAGGAGCUUGCUUUUCUGAUCUAGUGGCGGACGGGUGAGUAACACGUGAGCAAUCUGCCUUUCAGAGGGGGAUACCGAUUGGAAACGAUCGUUAAUACCGCAUAACAUAAUUGAACCGCAUGAUUUGAUUAUCAAAGAUUUAUCGCUGAAAGAUGAGCUCGCGUCUGAUUAGCUAGUUGGUAAGGUAACGGCUUACCAAGGCGACGAUCAGUAGCCGGACUGAGAGGUUGAUCGGCCACAUUGGGACUGAGACACGGCCCAGACUCCUACGGGAGGCAGCAGUGGGGAAUAUUGCACAAUGGAGGAAACUCUGGUGCAGCGAUGCCGCGUGAGGGAAGAAGGUUUUAGGAUUGUAAACCUCUGUCUUCAGGGACGAAAAAAGACGGUACCUGAGGAGGAAGCUCCGGCUAACUACGUGCCAGCAGCCGCGGUAAUACGUAGGGAGCGAGCGUUGUCCGGAAUUACUGGGUGUAAAGGGAGCGUAGGCGGGAUCGCAAGUCAGAUGUGAAAACUAUGGGCUUAACCCAUAAACUGCAUUUGAAACUGUGGUUCUUGAGUGAAGUAGAGGUAAGCGGAAUUCCUAGUGUAGCGGUGAAAUGCGUAGAUAUUAGGAGGAACAUCAGUGGCGAAGGCGGCUUACUGGGCUUUAACUGACGCUGAGGCUCGAAAGCGUGGGGAGCAAACAGGAUUAGAUACCCUGGUAGUCCACGCCGUAAACGAUGAUUACUAGGUGUGGGGGGACUGACCCCUUCCGUGCCGCAGCAAACGCAAUAAGUAAUCCACCUGGGGAGUACGACCGCAAGGUUGAAACUCAAAGGAAUUGACGGGGGCCCGCACAAGCAGUGGAGUAUGUGGAUUAAUUCGAAGCAACGCGAAGAACCUUACCAGGUCUUGACAUCGUAUGCAUAGCUCAGAGAUGAGUGAAAUCUCUUCGGAGACAUAUAGACAGGUGGUGCAUGGUUGUCGUCAGCUCGUGUCGUGAGAUGUUGGGUUAAGUCCCGCAACGAGCGCAACCCUUACUGUUAGUUGCUACGCAAGAGCACUCUAGCAGGACUGCCGUUGACAAAACGGAGGAAGGUGGGGAUGACGUCAAAUCAUCAUGCCCCUUAUGACCUGGGCCUCACACGUACUACAAUGGCUGUCAACAGAGGGAAGCAAAGCCGCGAGGUGGAGCAAACCCCUAAAAGCAGUCUUAGUUCGGAUUGUAGGCUGCAACCCGCCUACAUGAAGUCGGAAUUGCUAGUAAUCGCAGAUCAGCAUGCUGCGGUGAAUACGUUCCCGGGCCUUGUACACACCGCCCGUCACGCCAUGGGAGUCGGUAACACCCGAAGCCUGUAGUCUAACCGCAAGGAGGACGCAGUCGAAGGUGGGAUUGAUGACUGGGGUG